GAUGAACGCUGGCGGCAUGCCUAAUACAUGCAAGUCGAACGAGAGGAAGGAAAGCUUGUUUUCUGAAUCUAGUGGCGAACGGGUGAGUAACACGUAGGUAACCUGCCCAUGUGCCCGGGAUAACUUCUGGAAACGGAUGCUAAAACCGGAUAGGUAGCAGACAAGCAUUUGACUGCUAUUAAAGUGGCUAAGGCCAUGAACAUGGAUGGACCUGCGGUGCAUUAGCUAGUUGGUGAGGUAACGGCCCACCAAGGCGACGAUGCAUAGCCGGCCUGAGAGGGCGGACGGCCACAUUGGGACUGAGACACGGCCCAAACUCCUACGGGAGGCAGCAGUAGGGAAUUUUCGUCAAUGGGGGAACCCUGACGAGCAAUGCCGCGUGAGUGAGGAAGGUCUUCGGAUCGUAAAGCUCUGUUGUAAGAGAAAACGACAUUCAUAGGAUGAUGAGUGAGUGAUGGUAUCUUACCAGAAA
rnacentral:rRNA from 1 species